AGUUUAGAUCAUGGCUCAGAAUGAACGCUGGCGGCGUGCUUUACACAUGCAAGUCGAGCGAGGCGGCCCGCAAGGGCCAGUCGAGCGGCGAACGGGUGAGUAACGCGUGGAUUAUCUGCCCUGAGGUGUGGGAUAACCAGGGGAAACUCUGGCUAAUACCGCAUGAUACCGAGAGGUCAAAGGGGGCUCGCAAGGGCUCUCGCCAUAGGAGGAGUCCGCGUUCGAUUAGCUAGUUGGUAGGGUAAUGGCCUACCAAGGCGACGAUCGAUAGCCGGCCUGAGAGGGUGAUCGGCCACACUGGAACUGAGACACGGUCCAGACUCCUACGGGAGGCAGCAGUGGGGAAUUUUGCGCAAUGGGCUAACGCCUGACGCAGCAACGCCGCGUGGAGGAUGAAGGUCCUUGGAUUGUAAACUCCUGUCAGCAGGGAAAAAGCGACUUAGCCUAAUACGCUAGGGAGUUGAUUGUACCUGCAGAGGAAGCCCCGGCUAACUCUGUGCCAGCAGCCGCGGUAAUACAGAGGGGGCAAGCGUUAUUCGG
rnacentral:rRNA from 1 species